rnacentral:rRNA from 1 species
CUGACGUUAGCGGCGGACGGGUGAGUAACACGUGGAUAACCUACCUAUAAGACUGGGAUAACUUCGGGAAACCGGAGCUAAUACCGGAUAAUAUAUUGAACCGCAUGGUUCAAUAGUGAAAGACGGUUUUGCUGUCACUUAUAGAUGGACCCGCGCCGCAUUAGCUAGUUGGUAAGGUAACGGCUUACCAAGGCAACGAUGCGUAGCCGACCUGAGAGGGUGAUCGGCCACACUGGAACUGAGACACGGUCCAGACUCCUACGGGAGGCAGCAGUAGGGAAUCUUCCGCAAUGGGCGAAAGCCUGACGGAGCAACGCCGCGUGAGUGAUGAAGGUCUUCGGAUCGUAAAACUCUGUUAUUAGGGAAGAACAAAUGUGUAAGUAACUAUGCACGUCUUGACGGUACCUAAUCAGAAAGCCACGGCUAACUACGUGCCAGCAGCCGCGGUAAUACGUAGGCGGCAAGCGUUAUCCGGAAUUAUUGGGCGUAAAGCGCGCGUAGGCGGUUUUUUAAGUCUGAUGUGAAAGCCCACGGCUCAACCGUGGAGGGUCAUUGGAAACUGGAAAACUUGAGUGCAGAAGAGGAAAGUGGAAUUCCAUGUGUAGCGGUGAAAUGCGCAGAGAUAUGGAGGAACACCAGUGGCGAAGGCGACUUUCUGGUCUGUAACUGACGCUGAUGUGCGAAGCGUGG